UACAGAGGGGGCUAGCGUUGUUCGGAAUUACUGGGCGUAAAGGGCGCGUAGGUGGCCUGUUAAGUCGAACGUGAAAUCCCCGGGCUCAACCCGGGAACUGCGUCCGAGACUGGCAGGCUCGAAUCCGGGAGAGGGAUGUGGAAUUCCAGGUGUAGCGGUGAAAUGCGUAGAUAUCUGGAGGAACACCGGUGGCGAAGGCGGCAUCCUGGACCGGUAUUGACGCUGAGGCGCGAAAGCCAGGGGAGCAAACGGGG
rnacentral:rRNA from 1 species